UACAACUACGUCAUUGCUUUCUGCUAUGUGUACCACGUGGUACACAAUUUCCAGGAAGGUCGUACAAGAAAUGUAAACAAUGGCUACUUCUGAUAAGGUUUCUGCAGUAACAUUCACUAGAAAUAAUCUUCCUGGUGCAAAGUUUCUCUCAGAAGUCAAUUGUUGAGAUAAGUAAUGGACACAGUGCUGCUGAGGUUUAACUUCAUGUGGGAAAAGACCAGAACUAAUUAACAGAUGCAGUGCCUGUAUUAAAGCUGGGGAAGACAAGGUCAUCAUUGUGCCAGUUGAUGACGGUUUAUGCUACUUGAACUUUAAAUGAAUCAAUGAAAAACAGUCCACAAUGUCAUGAUUUAUACAAUAGCUGGUACACACAUAGUACAAAUAAAUAUAUAUACAUCGAUGUGUUGUCAAUACAGAUAUUAAAAUGAUACUAAAUACA